rnacentral:misc_RNA from 1 species
UAGUGAUGAUUAUUACUCCAUCCGUCCCAAAAUAUAGCAACUUUUACAUAGACGGUCCAGAUAUGUAGUACUAGCAUACAUCCCAUCUAACAAAAAAUUGAUAUAUUUUGGGACGGAGGGAGUAUUAAUCAACCUUGGUG